UCUAAUAACGCAAUACUUUUUCGUAUAAUCUCGGGAAUUGGCCUGAGAGUCUCUACGAGAUCACCGUAAAUGAUCUGGCUACGAAGAGGAAUGGCUUUCCG
rfam:Paenibacillus alvei DSM 29 PAV_1c, whole genome shotgun sequence.